rnacentral:rRNA from 1 species
AGAGCGAACGCUGGCGGCAGGCCUAACACAUGCAAGUCGAGCGCCCGUAGCAAUACGGGAGCGGCAGACGGGAUAGUAACACGUGGGAACGCGCCCUUCGGUUCGGAAUAACUCAGGGAAACUUGAGCUAAUACCGGAUAAGCCCUUACGGGAAAGAUUUAUCGCCGAAAGAUCGGCCCGCGUCUGAUUAGCUAGUUGGUGAGGUAAUGGCUCACCAAGGCGACGAUCAGUAGCU